UGCUGAGUGCCUCAGCAGACAGAAGACCACACACAGGCUGGUCCUGCAGAGAAGUGGUGUUGAUGGGCUUCAUCGAAGCCUCCUGGGUGCAGGGAGGGUGUAGGGGCUGCUUCUGCUGCCAACACCCCAUGAGGAUGGGAAGUUGCAGAAGAGUGACAAAAGGGCAGCUGCAGGUUCUUCUCUCAUGUCUCAUCGAACACACCAGAGGCUGUCCCAAGUCUCCUCCAAGGAAGGCCUCCCAGAACUCCUCCUCAGGUGUCAUCGUGGUGGAAAUAACUGUGACUGCAUUUGCCAGAAACACACUUCAAAGUCACUGGAUUUCCAGUAGUGAUGUAUGGACCCUCCAUAUGUCCUCCAUGUGUGUGAAUCCACCCUGCUGAGGCUGUUCCUUGGUGUGGUAGAAACAGGGGUGCUUUCAUGGCUUCUGCAUUUUUCUCAACUUCUCUGCUUGAGAAACCUGAGGGUGAAAAACCUGUAGAGGGUAUUCUGCUGAGCAGUCCUUUAUGAGAGUUCUUCCUCAGGGCAAACUGCUCUGGGAACAGCCUUCUUCAUGAAUGUGUUGGAGUCCCAAACUGCUUUUUAGAUCAGAAGGACUUUUGGUUAUCCAUUCUGGUUGAUACAGAUCUGAGAUACAAAUAAGCUACACUGCAAACUUUGCACAAAACAACUUACCCCACACAAGAUUCUAGACGUGGGUAAGGCAUUUAUUUUUGGGAGCUGUUUGAAAAUACAGUUUUUUCAUCUCUUUCUCACCUUUCCUGUUGUUUUUUUUUAGCUUUGCUAUUUUAAUUUCUGGGGAAUUUUAUUUUCUUUCAAUAGUUCAUGGGUCAAAAGGCAGGCAAUGCUACUGGGUGGCGGUUAUGGUUGUCUGUUUUUUAAAGGAAACCUGGGGGUUUACAUCAGCUUUAUAUCUGAAAGACCAUAAUGUAGUGUGAGUUACCAUCCCUGUUCUCAAAUCCGCUCCAUUUCAAAUGAUGUUGGUAAUUGCAGGAGGCACAACUCAGCCUGCGGUAUUGAAUUACUAUCAUCUUGUAUAUAUCUACAAAUGUCUGGAUCAGCAACUCAAGCACCUUUGAAAGAAUGCUCUGUCAGACAAAGUGUAGGAAAUAUGGUACAGAACAACUGUCACCAGUUCCUUUGUAGAUGGAACAAAGUAUUUUAGCUGUUCAAGCACAGGAAAGCCUGUUAUCAUGAAAGCAUUGCUGCAUGCAAUACUUUGUGAUCACGUGGAUUAAAGUGCUUCCUGAUGUGCAGAA